rnacentral:rRNA from 1 species
AACGAACGCUGGCGGCAGGCCUAACACAUGCAAGUCGAGCGAGGACUUCGGUCCUAGCGGCGGACGGGUGAGUAACGCGUGGGAACGUGCCCUUUGCUUCGGAACAGCCCUGGGAAACUGGGAGUAAUACCGGAUGAGCCCUUUGGGGGAAAUAUUUAUCGGCGAAGGAUCGGCCCGCGUUGGAUUAGGUAGUUGGUGGGGUAAUGGCCUACCAAGCCGACGAUCCAUAGCUGGUUUGAGAGGAUGAUCAGCCACACUGGGACUGAGACACGGCCCAGACUCCUACGGGAGGCAGCAGUGGGGAAUCUUAGACAAUGGGGGAAACCCUGAUCUAGCCAUGCCGCGUGAGCGAUGAAGGCCUUAGGGUUGUAAAGCUCUUUCAGCUGGGAAGAUAAUGACGGUACCAGCAGAAGAAGCCCCGGCUAACUCCGUG